rnacentral:misc_RNA from 1 species
UGUAACGCACCAGAACGCUGA